rnacentral:lncRNA from 1 species
AGCAUCCUGUCCAAAUGCUACUGGUGCCCCAUAGGUAUGGAAUUCAGAACUCUGAGGACAGUAGUGCUGCCUGGCUGGUACUUUUGCCUCAGGAACUUGGAGGAGGUGUCACAUGGAGGUUCACCUCCUUUGUCUAGCAAAGAACCUGAAGAGCUGGGAACCAAAUACCAGCCCCUGGUGAGGCCACUGCUUCAGCUCUGGUAGGAAAGGCUUCAGUCCGGGGUAGGAAAGCAGUAUGCUUUUUUCUCGAGGUUGGAAGACUCUAUAUCAUAGGCUUCUCCGACAACUUUAGAUUGCAAACUACAGGCAUAGACCUGCCCUCUUAGCUGCCAGACUGACCAGCUGUUAUCUCCAUUCAUCUCUCUCAGAUGACGACACCAUCUAACAUGUGAAGAUUCCUGAGUAGAAAUUCUUUGUUUGAGGUGAGCAAAAUAUUCCAGAUGAACAAACUAUCUUGUGGAGGAACCAGCAGAAAACUGACAGGUGGACUUAACCACUGUGGCCGCAAAGCCUUCAGUUUCUCGUGAUAUCUUUCCCAUGUUUUUAAAAUUGUGAAUACAAGCAAAUAAGCAGAAAAGCAUGGGAUUCCUCGCCUUGCCCUGCUUGUCUCCUGUCUCCUCUCCCUACAUUGAUGAUGCUAAAGAAGGAGAUAAAGGAAGAAGAUCCUUGCUUAAGGAAGUAGCCUGGCUUGCAAGAUAAUUUUCCUAAUGUAAUAGCUUAUUUUUGAAUGGCAGAUGCCUAAUACUACCCAGUUCAUUCUAGAAAAGGCUGAUUUAUGCUGUUGUUUUGGAAGUUCAGAUUUAUUUCCAAUAUCUCAGCUUGUGCUUCCUAUUUACCAUGCUUUUUAUUUUUCUUUAUUUCUUUAUUGCCUUGUAUUGGAAUAAUUGAGUUUUCAUUAUUCCACUUUCCACGCCUCUACAGAUUUGAAAGUUAUAUG